rnacentral:rRNA from 1 species
GAUGAACGCUGGCGGCGUGCCUAAUACAUGCAAGUCGAGCGAACAGACGAGGAGCUUGCUCCUCUGACGUUAGCGGCGGACGGGUGAGUAACACGUGGAUAACCUACCUAUAAGACUGGGAUAACUUCGGGAAACCGGAGCUAAUACCGGAUAAUAUAUUGAACCGCAUGGUUCAAUAGUGAAAGACGGUUUUGCUGUCACUUAUAGAUGGAUCCGCGCCGCAUUAGCUAGUUGGUAAGGUAACGGCUUACCAAGGCGACGAUGCGUAGCCGACCUGAGAGGGGGGUCGGGCCAAAGGGGAAGGGGGACACGGCCCGGACCCCUAGGGGGGGCAGCGAGGGGGAACUUUCCGCAAGGGGGGAAAGCCUGCGGGGGCAACGCCGGGGGGGGGAAGAAGUGUUUGGGAUGGUAAAACUUUUUUAUUGGGGAAAAAAAAAUGUGAAGGUAACUAUGCCCGUUUGGAGGGAACCGAGUCAGAAAGCCAGGGCUAACUAGGG